rnacentral:rRNA from 1 species
AUGGCGACCGACGCCGACGAGGCCCCGUUGCUCGCCGACGAGCCCCUGCGGCCGGGAUCCUGCAGCCGGGAGCUCGAGCUGCGGGAGUUCCGCGACCGCUACGUCUUCCGCUCGCUCGACGGCGGCGGCGCCUUCGCCGUCGCCCGCUCCGACGGCUCCCUCCGCCCCCUCUCCCCAGAGGAAGCCGCAGCCGGGAGCGACUGUAAGGUCUCCAAGAUAUACGGAGUGGCCGGUAUGAUCAGGUUGCUCGCCGGAAGCUACGUACUUGUCAUCACUUCUCGGAAGGAUGCUGGCUCUUAUGGGGCUUCCACAGUUUACCAUGCGAAUUCGAUGAAAUUCUUGUGCUGCAACGAGGCUAUAAAGCAUUUAACUUCAGAGGAAAAACGAGAUGAGGCAUACUUCAUGUCUCUCUUGAGAAUUGCAGAAACUACUUGUGGACUUUAUUAUUCGUAUGACAGGGAUUUGACAUUAAACUUGCAGAGGGCAUCAAAGCUGGCUGCGGGGAGGGUACAUAAGCCACUAUGGAAGCAGGCUGAUCCACGGUUUGUUUGGAACAGGAAUUUGUUAGAGAAGCUUAUUGAAACUAAGCUUGAUGAGUUCAUUACCCCACUGAUCCAAGGAAGUUUUCAGACAGAGCAAUUUACCUUGAAGGAUAGACUAGUCAGAAUAACUUUAUUCUCUCAGAGAUGCAACAGGCGUUUAGGGACAAGAAUGUGGAGAAGGGGUGCAAAUCUUGAAGGUGCCACCGCCAAUUUUGUCGAGACAGAACAGCUGGUUGAGUAUGAAGGUUUAACGUCCUCAUUUAUACAGGUUAGGGGCUCUAUUCCACUUCUCUGGGAGCAGAUAGUGGAUUUAAGCUACAAACCACGACCCAGCAUUAUUGAACAUGAAGAAAUGACGAAGGUUGUUGAGCGCCACUUUCACGAUCUUUCACAAAGAUAUGGAGAUACAAUGGUUAUUGAUCUGACCGAUAAACAAGGUGAUGAAGGAAAUUUAAGCAAUGCAUUUGCUGCUGAAAUGCAGAACUUUCCUGAUAUCAGGUAUGUGCACUUUGAUUUCCAUCAUAUUUGUGGCGGAGGGAACUUUGAUAACUUGCAAGUUCUCUAUGAUGAAAUUGAGGAAGCUAUUCAGAAACAAGGAUAUUUCCUUAUGAACUCUAAAGGAGAGAUAUUGUUGGACCAAAGUGGCGUCGUUAGGUCCAACUGCAUAGAUUGCCUGGACCGCACAAAUGUGACGCAGAGUUUCCUUGCAAGAAAAUCUUUGGACUCACAGCUGCAGCGAAUGGGGGCAUUAUCAUCAGCUGAAAGUAUCUCUCAAUCUGAUAGCAUUAACGAUAAAUUUAAAAAAUUGUGGGUUGAGCAUGGUGAUGAGCUAAGCCUUGAAUAUGCUGGUUCUUAUGCCUUAAAGGGAGACCUUGUAAGGUAUGGAAGGCAGACACUGCCUGGAUUGAUUAAAGAUGGCAUGAGCGCUCUUUCCCGGUAUUAUUUGAACAAUUCUCAUGAUGGAGUGCGACAAGAUGCUCUAGAUCUUAUCAGUGGGAAAAAGUAUCUUCCUGUGGCGUCGGCAAUCAUAGUUGGUGGGAUCACUGUCACAACUUUCACUCUUAGUCAAGUUGGACGGAGCGCACAACACCUCAUCUCGUCCAUCAUCUUUGCUGGCUUGACAGCCGGAGUGAUAGCCUUGGUGAAAGCGAAUGGGAAGCAGCUCUGCUCUAGACCCCGAUUAUGCGGUCUGAUCUAG